CUAUCCUACGGGACGCAGCAGUGGGGAAUAUUGCACAAUGGGGGAAACCCUGAUGCAGCAACGCCGCGUGAGUGAGGAGGUCAUUCGUGAUGUAAAGCUCUAUCAGCAGGGAAGAAAAUGACGGUACCUGAGUAAGAAGCCCCGGCUAACUACGUGCCAGCAGCCGCGGUAAUACGUAGGGGGCAAGCGUUAUCCGGAUUUACUGGGUGUAAAGGGAGCGUAGACGGCCAGACAAGUCUGAAGUGAAAAUCCAGCGCUUAACGU
rnacentral:rRNA from 1 species